rnacentral:sRNA from 1 species
CCUACUUAUGGGCGCAUUCUUGGCGGACUUGUUAAGAAAGAAGCGAUGACAUGUCAGACCAUGCUGGUUGAUUGGACCUCAGCGAAGUUCCCUCCCGGGUGUUAUCAGAUUUGACCGGCUCGAGCGUCCCCCUCAAGCGUCCCCGCCAGGCACAGACCUGAUCUGACCACCAAGCUCUCACCCGCAAGGCUACUUCCUGAGUAUAUUGGCAUUGGGAAACUCAACUUCUUCCUCCCCCUCAGAUAACGAGGCAGUUAUUAGGAAUUUGGCAUAAAAUUGAUAUUUUAUAAGUAUCAUACUCGCAGAGUUGGCCCUCCUACUCCUCCUUGUAGCGACAAUUUAGCGUAUUCGAAAAUUCUGUCAGUCUACUAGCUUCAUUCAGUAGAAUAAGGAGAUAGACAAUAUGUUGCAG